rnacentral:sRNA from 1 species
GCAGGCCCCGGGCCCUCUCGUUCCCAGCGCUGCCCUGUCUUGCGUUCCAGUGUUCCAGCUUCUGCGAGAUGACCCUCAAGGCGAGCGAGGGCGAGAGUGGGGGCAGCAUGCACACGGCGCUCUCCGACCUCUACCUGGAGCACUUGCUGCAGAAGCGUAGUCGGCCAGAGGAGCCAGUGGGGUGGGUCGCAGCCACAUUAAGAAUGCCCUGCUCAGCCAGAAUCCGGAGAAGUUUGUGUACCCUGUCCCAUGUAAGUACCUCUUAGGCACCUUGGAGGGGAGGUGACAGGCUGGUACCACUCGCCAUCUGAAAUACCAUAGUGUUAUUUUAUUAUUUUUUAAAUUAUUUUAUUUUAAAUGAUUAUUAAAACUAAACAAAAUAUGGAAAGAUAAAAAUUUGUGCCCACAAUUCCUCCACCUAACAGAAUAACUGUUUUCUUAUUGUUAUUUGUGCUGUUUGUCUACAUAACAGAAGCUAUAGUAAACAUUUUGAUACUGCCUUAAAAAUUACUAAGUAUUAAAGUUUAUACAUAUAACUUUGUCAUUUUACUUUUUAAACAUUUUCUCAUGUUCCUCUGCAAUUUGCCUAAUUCUCUUUGAGAACUAUCCCACUCUUGAUGUUCAGGCUGCCUCUCAUUUUCAUGGAAUGUCUUCUAAAUCAAAGCAGUGCCUAGGAAAGGCCCAAACGAUCUCAACAGCAGUCCUAGAUAUGGAGAAGAGUAGCGCCAGUGAUCAGGUGGAGAAUUUGAUAACUCUUCCAUUCCCAGAAGUGAUGCUGCAUGGUAUAGUUGUGUAUGUUCCCAGAAAGAAAUACGGUCAUUCCUCACUUAAUAUUGUCAAUAGGCUCUUCGAAGACUGUGACUUUAAGUGAAAUGACUUAUAACAAGAACCAGUUUUUUUACUCAUCAACAAUACAAUGAAAUGAAGUUGAACUAAACCAUGUUAGUCAAGGACCAGCUGCAUGUGAUU